rnacentral:rRNA from 1 species
CACGUAGGGGGCGAGCGUUGUCCGGAUUUAUUGGGCGUAAAGAGCUCGUAGGCGGUUUGUCGCGUCUGCUGUGAAAACCUAAGGCUCAACCUUGGGCUUGCAGUGGGUACGGGCAGACUAGAGUGCGGUAGGGGUGACUGGAAUUCCUGGUGUAGUGGUGGAAUGCGUAGAUAUCGGGAGGAACACCAGUGGCGCAGGCGGCGUCCUGGACCGGCACUGACGCUGAGGAGCGAAAGCGUGGGGAGCGAUCCGG